AAAGUCCACGUGCGUGCAAUCUUGCAUGCCUGCUGUGCUUGGAUGAAUGAAAAGAUUGUCUGGAAGAUUGUUGACCAUUUCACGGCGCGAAACUGUGCUGUGGGUCAGGUGCAUUUGUUGCUAGAUUUGCUAAAGU
rnacentral:ribozyme from 11 species